AAAUGCAUUCACCUGCACCCCAAGAUCGGUUACUUACUGAAGCUAAGCAGGGCUGAGCCUGGUCAGUACCUGGAUGGGAGACCACAUGGGAAAACUAGGUUGCUGUUA
rnacentral:rRNA from 1 species